CUACGGGCCGCAGCAGUCGAGAAUCUUUCGCAAUGGGGGAAACCCUGACGAAGCGACGCCGUGUGAGUGAAGAAGGCCCUCGGGUUGUAAAGCUCUUUCGCAUGGGAACAAGAAAAACUAACUAAUACUUAGUUGAUUUGAUAGUAUCAAGUAAAGAAGCACCGGCUAACUUCGUGCCAGCAGCUGCGGUAAUACGAAGGGUGCUAGAGUUAAUCGGAUUUAUUGGGCGUAAAGGGCGCGUAGGCGGAAAAGCAAGUCAAAUGUGAAAUCCCUGGGCUUAACCCAGGAACUGCAUUUGAACUACUUAUCUAGAGGAUAGACGGGGAAAGUGGAAUUCCACGUGUAGCGGUAAAAUGCGUAGAUAUGUGGAAGAAUACCGGUGGCGAAGGCGACUUUCUAGUUUACACCUGACGCUGAGGCGCGAGAGCAAGGGGAGCAAACAGGAUUAGAUACCCUUGUAGUC
rnacentral:rRNA from 1 species